GGUUAAGCGACUAAGCGUACACGGUGGAUGCCCUGGCAGUCAGAGGCGAUGAAGGACGUGCUAAUCUGCGAUAAGCGUCGGUAAGGUGAUAUGAACCGUUAUAACCGGCGAUUUCCGAAUGGGGAAACCCAGUGUGUUUCGACACACUAUCAUUAACUGAAUCCAUAGGUUAAUGAGGCGAACCGGGGGAACUGAAACAUCUAAGUACCCCGAGGAAAAGAAAUCAACCGAGAUUCCCCCAGUAGCGGCGAGCGAACGGGGAGCAGCCCAGAGCCUGAAUCAGUGUGUGUGUUAGUGGAAGCGUCUGGAAAGGCGCGCGAUACAGGGUGACAGCCCCGUACACAAAAAUGCACAUGCUGUGAGCUCGAUGAGUAGGGCGGGACACGUGGUAUCCUGUCUGAAUAUGGGGGGACCAUCCUCCAAGGCUAAAUACUCCUGACUGACCGAUAGUGAACCAGUACCGUGAGGGAAAGGCGAAAAGAACCCCGGCGAGGGGAGUGAAAAAGAACCUGAAACCGUGUACGUACAAGCAGUGGGAGCCUCUUUAUGGGGUGACUGCGUACCUUUUGUAUAAUGGGUCAGCGACUUAUAUUCUGUAGCAAGGUUAACCGAAUAGGGGAGCCGAAGGGAAACCGAGUCUUAACUGGGCGUUAAGUUGCAGGGUAUAGACCCGAAACCCGGUGAUCUAGCCAUGGGCAGGUUGAAGGUUGGGUAACACUAACUGGAGGACCGAACCGACUAAUGUUGAAAAAUUAGCGGAUGACUUGUGGCUGGGGGUGAAAGGCCAAUCAAACCGGGAGAUAGCUGGUUCUCCCCGAAAGCUAUUUAGGUAGCGCCUCGUGAAUUCAUCUCCGGGGGUAGAGCACUGUUUCGGCAAGGGGGUCAUCCCGACUUACCAACCCGAUGCAAACUGCGAAUACCGGAGAAUGUUAUCACGGGAGACACACGGCGGGUGCUAACGUCCGUCGUGAAGAGGGAAACAACCCAGACCGCCAGCUAAGGUCCCAAAGUCAUGGUUAAGUGGGAAACGAUGUGGGAAGGCCCAGACAGCCAGGAUGUUGGCUUAGAAGCAGCCAUCAUUUAAAGAAAGCGUAAUAGCUCACUGGUCGAGUCGGCCUGCGCGGAAGAUGUAACGGGGCUAAACCAUGCACCGAAGCUGCGGCAGCGACGCUUAUGCGUUGUUGGGUAGGGGAGCGUUCUGUAAGCCUGUGAAGGUGUGCUGUGAGGCAUGCUGGAGGUAUCAGAAGUGCGAAUGCUGACAUAAGUAACGAUAAAGCGGGUGAAAAGCCCGCUCGCCGGAAGACCAAGGGUUCCUGUCCAACGUUAAUCGGGGCAGGGUGAGUCGACCCCUAAGGCGAGGCCGAAAGGCGUAGUCGAUGGGAAACAGGUUAAUAUUCCUGUACUUGGUGUUACUGCGAAGGGGGGACGGAGAAGGCUAUGUUGGCCGGGCGACGGUUGUCCCGGUUUAAGCGUGUAGGCUGGUUUUCCAGGCAAAUCCGGAAAAUCAAGGCUGAGGCGUGAUGACGAGGCACUACGGUGCUGAAGCAACAAAUGCCCUGCUUCCAGGAAAAGCCUCUAAGCAUCAGGUAACAUCAAAUCGUACCCCAAACCGACACAGGUGGUCAGGUAGAGAAUACCAAGGCGCUUGAGAGAACUCGGGUGAAGGAACUAGGCAAAAUGGUGCCGUAACUUCGGGAGAAGGCACGCUGAUAUGUAGGUGAGGUCCCUCGCGGAUGGAGCUGAAAUCAGUCGAAGAUACCAGCUGGCUGCAACUGUUUAUUAAAAACACAGCACUGUGCAAACACGAAAGUGGACGUAUACGGUGUGACGCCUGCCCGGUGCCGGAAGGUUAAUUGAUGGGGUUAGCGGUAACGCGAAGCUCUUGAUCGAAGCCCCGGUAAACGGCGGCCGUAACUAUAACGGUCCUAAGGUAGCGAAAUUCCUUGUCGGGUAAGUUCCGACCUGCACGAAUGGCGUAAUGAUGGCCAGGCUGUCUCCACCCGAGACUCAGUGAAAUUGAACUCGCUGUGAAGAUGCAGUGUACCCGCGGCAAGACGGAAAGACCCCGUGAACCUUUACUAUAGCUUGACACUGAACAUUGAGCCUUGAUGUGUAGGAUAGGUGGGAGGCUUUGAAGUGUGGACGCCAGUCUGCAUGGAGCCGACCUUGAAAUACCACCCUUUAAUGUUUGAUGUUCUAACGUGGACCCGUGAUCCGGGUUGCGGACAGUGUCUGGUGGGUAGUUUGACUGGGGCGGUCUCCUCCUAAAGAGUAACGGAGGAGCACGAAGGUUGGCUAAUCCUGGUCGGACAUCAGGAGGUUAGUGCAAUGGCAUAAGCCAGCUUGACUGCGAGCGUGACGGCGCGAGCAGGUGCGAAAGCAGGUCAUAGUGAUCCGGUGGUUCUGAAUGGAAGGGCCAUCGCUCAACGGAUAAAAGGUACUCCGGGGAUAACAGGCUGAUACCGCCCAAGAGUUCAUAUCGACGGCGGUGUUUGGCACCUCGAUGUCGGCUCAUCACAUCCUGGGGCUGAAGUAGGUCCCAAGGGUAUGGCUGUUCGCCAUUUAAAGUGGUACGCGAGCUGGGUUUAGAACGUCGUGAGACAGUUCGGUCCCUAUCUGCCGUGGGCGCUGGAGAACUGAGGGGGGCUGCUCCUAGUACGAGAGGACCGGAGUGGACGCAUCACUGGUGUUCGGGUUGUCAUGCCAAUGGCACUGCCCGGUAGCUAAAUGCGGAAGAGAUAAGUGCUGAAAGCAUCUAAGCACGAAACUUGCCCCGAGAUGAGUUCUCCCUGACUCCUUGAGAGUCCUGAAGGAACGUUGAAGACGACGACGUUGAUAGGCCGGGUGUGUAAGCGCAGCGAUGCGUUGAGCUAACCGGUACUAAUGAACCGUGAGGCUUAACCUU
rnacentral:rRNA from 1 species